rnacentral:rRNA from 1 species
GAUGAACGCUAGCUACAGGCUUAACACAUGCAAGUCGAGGGGCAUCAGGAAGAAAGCUUGCUUUCUUUGCUGGCGACCGGCGCACGGGUGAGUAACACGUAUCCAACCUGCCCUUUACUCGGGGAUAGCCUUUCGAAAGAAAGAUUAAUACCCGAUAGCAUAAUGAUUCCGCAUGGUUUCAUUAUUAAAGGAUUCCGGUAAAGGAUGGGGAUGCGUUCCAUUAGGUUGUUGGUGAGGUAACGGCCCACCAAGCCUUCGAUGGAUAGGGGUUCUGAGAGGAAGGUCCCCCACAUUGGAACUGAGACACGGUCCAAACUCCUACGGGAGGCAGCAGUGAGGAAUAUUGGUCAAUGGGCGCUAGCCUGAACCAGCCAAGUAGCGUGAAGGAUGAAGGCUCUAUGGGUCGUAAACUUCUUUUAUAUGGGAAUAAAGUUUUCCACGUGUGGAAUUUUGUAUGUACCAUAUGAAUAAGGAUCGGCUAAACUCCGUG